rnacentral:misc_RNA from 1 species
GUNNNNUAUUGCCAGGGUUUUUAUUUUUAUACUUUAAACUUUGAUUUUAUUUUUAUGUUUUUUAAAUAUUGGUGUUUUUGAAUGUGUUGUUUAAAUAACAUAAAAAAUAAAAUAUAUAUUGACAUGUAUUAAACAAAGAUAUAUAUUAUUUUAUGUUGUAUAAAUAAAUUGGCAAAAUAGAGAUGGAAGAUAAAAAUAUGGUCAAAGUAAUAAGAGUCUAUGGUGAAUGCCUAGGA